UAGAAAACNGAGUUCUCAGGACAGUCUUA
rnacentral:piRNA from 1 species